AGUAAAGUGGCGCACGGGUGAGUAACACGUGACUAACCUACCCCUUGAGUGGGGGAUAACCUCGGGAAACCGGGGCUAAUACCGCAUAAUAUCGAGAGAUCAAAGGAGCAAUUCGCUUAAGGAGGGGGUCGCGGCUGAUUAGCUAGUUGGUGAGGUAAUGGCUCACCAAGGCUAUGAUCAGUAUCCGGCCUGAGAGGGCGCACGGACACACUGGAACUGAAACACGGUCCAG
rnacentral:rRNA from 1 species